rnacentral:tRNA from 2 species
GGGGUGUUAGCUCAACGGUAGAGCGCUUCGUUUGCAACGAAGAGGUUACCGGUUCGAGCCCGGUACACUCCACCA